rnacentral:lncRNA from 1 species
AGAAUGCUGUUACUAUUCAUUUUCCCAAAUAAAAAGCAUGUCUAGAAACAGUCAAGUGUAGUUUUUGUGUUGAACAAACAAUGAAGAAGCCCAGGAUUGUGAGAAACUAAGGGAUUUUCCUCAGUCAGCGAGCAUUGACUUUGAAUGGGCCCCGGAGGAGGAGGCUUGUGGAGCAGGAUGGAUGCCUGGCUGGCUGGGGUGUUGAACAGCAGCGAGUGCGGAGAAGUAGAAGAAGAAGAAUCCCUCGUUCACAGUGCACAGUAAAUUCCUGUUGCUCGGAUUGAAUGUGGCCCUUUGUACUGUGGCCGAAAUCAUCGACCUCGAAGCUCCAAAAGACUCUGUUGGGUCCUGUCAGAGCUUUCCGGGACAACUGGAUCCCUCGAACAAGUCUCGUGCUUCGACAAGAAUAUUCAUCUCCACUCAUGGUUGCUGUUGUUGCAGCUCUGCAACUGCAGCAGACGGAAAUCGUCGCACGAAAGAUACCUCGGCGAACAUCGGAUACAAUAAUUUUUUUUUUUUAUCGAGCACUGUGCCCCCCUACCCC